rnacentral:lncRNA from 10 species
CUUUUCUUUUGGCUGCUGAGUUCUGUGUUAAGAAAGACAUAUAUCAAUCACUAAUUAGUAAGUCCUAGUCAAAUGGUGGGCGGGGGAGGGAAUCCAUGAAAAUGUAAAUACAAAAACAACAAGCCAUAUUAUACUUAACAAUUAGUUUGCUUUUUCCUGACCUCCUCCACUUUUUGGUACAUCUUUUUUUAGACACAGGAGGCGAGAGGAAGUUCAGAUUGGAGGCAGCCUUCCCACUUUUCUUUAGAGGAAGUCAUCUUUGUCUUUAUCUUUCCUUCCUUUACAGCACAAAAAGUUUUCAAAAGAUAGAGCUGACUUCCCUGAAUGGCUUCCCCAUUCCUAUUCCACUGUGGUAGCAUUUUUGGGUCUGGACUCUGGACUUUGAAUUUAUAGCUGUCUUGUGUUCUCACUCUGGCAGAAAGACAUCCUCUCCCUCAGGCACCUUGCCUCUUAACUCACUGCUUUGAACUACAGCCAUAUGGUUCCUCAAGAAAUCCAAAGAGCGCAGGCAGGGGAAUCCAUCUGGACCCUAUGUAGCUCUCAGAGAGGUGGGAGAGAGCCCAUCAGGUCUGAGCCGGCAGUAAAUUGCCCGCAGGUGUAGCCAGGGACCCUUCUUCGUCUAGAUGGCUUGAGAUACACCAUCCUGAACCUUGGCCCCUGGCCACAUUCUUUCCUGAUGGGUAGAGGAGGGUAAAGUUAAUACUCACAGGAGUAUUGUAUUUCCAGUUCUUAACUGUGCUGCCUGCAAGCAUGGCACAAGAACUACAUGGGCAAACAAACUACUGAAUUUCAGCAAGGCAGUUUAGCAAAUUCUUUUAUAAAUUUGAAGGAACCUGUGGAUUGGAUGAUUCUGCGUUGUGGCAGCAUUGUCAACUGAUGGACCCACCAGUUCCUGAAUCCUGCUGACUAAUGGAUCAUUGUCAACUUGCUGGAGCUUUGAGGAAGAUCAGGAGAGAGAAAAGGAAGGAAUUACCUCGGAUGGCUGGAGCGGAGAACUAAUGAAGGGAAGGCUCCAGGGCUUUGCCAAUGGGGCAUCUGGCCGGAAAAUCUGUGGAUGAAUCAGCACAAGUGGAUGCUCGCUGUUACAAAAAUGGCCCAAAUCACAUAUUCUAGUGAUCAUUGUUGAUGGUAUCAUAUUAAAAGUGAACUGCCAUGGAAGAAUGCUAACUUUUGUUGGUGCUUGAGGUGUAGGAGUCCAGAGACAUUCGAUUGGGUGUUUUGAAAGCAAAAGGCCAGUCUCCAGACACGUUUUAGUGUCAGCAUUCAGACUUUCACAGCUUUGGCUACCUCUAUGUGCUAUUAUAAAUUGAUGUCAUUACAAAGAUAUUAUAAUACCUAUCUUUUCUCCUAGAAUCAUGAAAAGGACUAUCCUUAAUAUGGAAUUGGAUAUUAAAAGCCGUUUCUUAUCCGUGUGUCCU